GCCCAGUGCAGUGGCACACCUGUAGUCCCAGCUACUCGGGAGGCUGAGGUGGGAGGAUCUCUUGAGUCCAGGAGUUCUGGGUUGCAGUGGGCUACACUGAUUGGGUGUCCACACUAGUUACACAUGGCUAUGGUGACCUCCCGAGAGCUGGGGGCCACCAGGUUGCCUAAAGAGGGAUGAACUGAUCUAGGUAGGAAACAGAGCAGGUCAAGAAACACGAUCUUCUAGUUAUAGCACAUCUGUCUCCAUGGCUGAGUGUCCAUUGCAGGGGGACCCUCACUGC
ensembl:misc_RNA Metazoa_SRP Metazoan signal recognition particle RNA